GCAAGUCGAGCGCGCCCUUCGGGGUGAGCGGCGCACGGGUGAGGAACGCGUAGGUAAUCUACCCUUUGGCGGGGGACAACAUUCCGAAAGGAAUGCUAAUACCGCGUAAGACCACGUUCACUACGGUGAGAGUGGUAAAAGGUGCCUCAAAGCACCACCAAAGGAUGAGCCUGCGUCCCAUCAGCUUGUUGGUAAGGUAAUGGCUUACCAAGGCUAAGACGGGUAGCUGGUCUGAGAGGAUGAUC
rnacentral:rRNA from 1 species